rnacentral:rRNA from 1 species
GACGAACGCUGGCGGCGUGCUUAACACAUGCAAGUCGAACGAGUGGCGAACGGGUGAGUAACACGUGAGUAACCUGCCCCUUCUUCUGGAUAACUGCUUGAAAGGGUAGCUAAUACGGGAUAGUGGGGGAUGGGCUCGCGGCCUUUCAGCUUGUUGGUGGGGUGAUGGCCUACCAAGGCGGGGACGGGUAGCCGGCCUGAGGGGGUGGGCGACCAGACGGAGACGGAGUCACGGCCGGGACUGCUACGUGAGGCAGCAGGGGGGAGGAUUGAAUAAUGGGUGGGAGCCUGAUGCAGCGACGCCGCGUGAGUGAGGGAGGCCGUCGGGUGGUAAGCAUCUUUCGCCAGUGAAGCGGUAGCUGGAUAAGAAGCGCCGGCUAACUACGUGCCAGCAGCCGCGGUAAUAC